rnacentral:rRNA from 1 species
AAUAGAUACCCCGGUAGUCCACGCCGUAAACGAUGAGUGCUAAGUGUUAGAGGGUUUCCGCCCUUUAGUGCUGCAGCUAACGCAUUAAGCACUCCGCCUGGGGAGUACGGUCGCAAGACUGAAACUCAAAGGAAUUGACGGGGGCCCGCACAAGCGGUGGAGCAUGUGGUUUAAUUCGAAGCAACGCGAAGAACCUUACCAGGUCUUGACAUCCUCUGACAACUCUAGAGAUAGAGCGUUCCCCUUCGGGGGACAGAGUGACAGGUGGUGCAUGGUUGUCGUCAGCUCGUGUCGUGAGAUGUUGGGUUAAGUCCCGCAACGAGCGCAACCCUUGAUCUUAGUUGCCAGCAUUAAGUUGGGCACUCUAAGGUGACUGCCGGUGACAAACCGGAGGAAGGUGGGGAUGACGUCAAAUCAUCAUGCCCCUUAUGACCUGGGCUACACACGUGCUACAAUGGAUGGUACAAAGGGCUGCAAGACCGCGAGGUCAAGCCAAUCCCAUAAAACCAUUCUCAGUUCGGA